GCUUAGCUCAGCGGUAGAGCAAUCGGCUGUUAACCGAUUGGUCGUUGGUUCGAAUCCGACA
rnacentral:tRNA from 2 species